rnacentral:rRNA from 1 species
UCCAGACUCCUACGGGAGGCAGCAGUGGGGGAUAUUGCACAAUGGGGGGAACCCUGAUGCAGCGACGCCGCGUGGGUGAAGGAGCGUUUCGGCGCGUAAAGCCCUAUCGGCAGGGAAGAAGGAGGACGGUACCUGACUAAGAAGCCCCGGAUAACUACGUGCCAGCAGCCGCGGUAAUACGUAGGGGGCAAGCGUUAUCCGGAUUUACUGGGUGUAAAGGGGGCGCAGACGGCAGCGCAAGCCAGGAGUGAAAGCCCGGGGCCCAACCCCGGGACUGCUCUUGGAACUGCGCGGCUGGAGUGCAGGAGGGGCAGGCGGAAUUCCUGGUGUAGCGGUGAAAUGCGUAGAUAUCAGGAGGAACACCGGUGGCGAAGGCGGCCUGCUGGACUGCGACUGACGUUGAGGCCCGAAAGCGUGGGGAGCAAACAGGAUUAGAUACCCCCGUA